GAUGGCGGCGCGUAUAGAGAUAAUUAACGAGGACAGGUGCAAGCCCAAGAAGACCUGCCCCCGUCGUCAAGGCCGGGAGGCAUCGCAUCGGAGUCAAUCCGUCAUCCAAGUUUGUCUUCAUCUCUGAAGAGGCUGUGAAUAGCUUGGGUUAUUUGCGUCGAGGGAUACCCUUCCAUACAAAUAAUCAACCUCCCUAAAGAUUUGGACAAAGAUCUCACCCAUCGCUACGAGCCAAACAACUUCAAAUUGCUCAGGUUGCCAGUUACGAGACCUGGCCAGGUUUUUGGCCUUGUUGGAGCCAAUGGAACUGGAAAAACGUGUUAUGAGAUGAUUCAAAAAUCCACCUGCUUGGUGGGAAGUCCUUACAUACUUGCGGGGUCUGAACUACAGAAUUACUUUACGCGUUUCUUGGAUGAUAACCUCAAGAUUGAGGAAGCCCAGGGAAGUGCUGAAGUGAUUGUGACAUACCAGCAUUUCAAGCUCACUGCCAUGCAAGGUGAAUUCACCGAUUCUCAGAUUGUUUUGAUGCUUGGUGAGAAUUGAACAGGGAAAUUCAUCAAAAUGCUGAUUGCCCGGAUUGCAACGAGUGCGAUUGCGAUAACUGUCUGAACACCGAUCAAGACUGAAUAGAAGGUCAAAGGCGAGAACUGGGAGUCCGACUCUUACACAUAAAAACGUUACCCUGCUCAACCUGAACUUCCAAGCAGCAGAAGAUAGAACUAUGAUACUUCUCUACGCGAACUUGGAAAUAAGAUAUGGACAACAUUUCAAGGACAACCAAAUUCAUCUGUGGGGUUUCUUUUUUGGUAUUCUGCAGUCCCCAAGUAGAGAAAUUGUGAAGAGCAAUAGUUUAGUUUCCUCUUGCUUCGAGUUAAAAAAAAAUGAUUUGAAUUCUUCAGUUUCCUUUUCCUUUUCAUGUUCAUGUAUGAACGAUUUAACCUGCGCUAGUUUCAAGUUUCUGAAAAUUUGCCA